GCACUGUCUGCGAGUUGGGUGGGGGAAGUCUAACUGGGUGGCAUCUGCAAAGAUUAAGGAUAGGGGCUCAGGAGAUGGUUUAGUCAAUAAGCAUUGUCGUCAGAACCGAUGAGAUCCAGUAAGAGACUGCGUCUCAAAAACAAAACAGAACAAAAUGCUGAAGAGUCAUAGAGGAGGAUAUCUGGCAUGGCCCUCUGGCUUCCUCAUGCAGGAAGAUGUAGGACUCUCAGCUGGUCUCCCAGCACCGUUUCUUCCUGCACACCACCGUGCUUCUUGCCAUGAUGACGAUGGGCUGGCCCUCUGAAACUGCUGCCUCCGGAGUGCAACCUGAAGAUGGAUUUUCUGAACGACUGAAGUAACAUUUGGCUAAUGCACCCACCAAAGAGGAGUCAAGAGCGUGGCUACUAGAAAGAUGGCUGUCCACCUUCCUCCCAGAUACUCUACAUCCAGGAGCGGGAACUUGCCAUGGGGACUCUGGCAGAAGCCCUAACCUGGGACCCUCACGGGUCUUCCUGCCAUCUGUGCACCUCCAGCUUCCUGUGUGUCAGCUCAAGUCUUCUCCCCAGGACUGUUCAACCUAGGCCUUCCUGCCUUUUAACCCAGAACUGCUUAGCUCCCAAGGGUCACCUGAGGGAGGGUCAGUUUUACACUUUCCUUGUGGUCUAUGACUGUUUCCUCUGUGGUAUGUCCCCAUUCCCGGUCCUAGGCUCAUAGUAAAUGAAUGAUCAGGUUUUGAGUGAA